UUUUUUAUGAUUUAAUGAUUUUAUUAAAUGAUUAUUUAGUGCUUAUAUUUCAGCAUAAAUACAAGCAUUAAAAACUUAUCAGUUGAUUCUCCAUGACUUUUGUCUUGCAAUAUAUUGUCGCAUGUCUGUGCUUGGAAAAGGUAGAGGACGUGGGUAACAGGCAGGCUGGCAACUUGAAUUACCUGUGCCAGCUGUUGAAGACAUUCUGCUCACAAUGCUGCUUCAGAGGGUCAUCUGGAUGCCAGGUGCAUAAAUAGC
rnacentral:lncRNA from 1 species